rnacentral:rRNA from 1 species
AUGGCUUCCGCCCUCGGAGCCCAGGUGGCUGCCGUGGCGCCGAUUGGUUCGGAUGGUCGCCACUACAGGAGUUGUUCUUCGCUCAAGGGUAAUAACUCCCGCAAUAAGUCAUGGACUGGAAAAUUAGCAUGGGAAAACAAGACCCUGCAACCAAGACAUACGAAGGUCUUUUGUAUGUCCGUGCAACAAGCAAGCAAAAGUAAAUGUAAAGUUGCUAUUAAACCUCUGGAACUGGAGAAUACAAAGGAGCCACCCCUCAACUUGUACAAACCAAAGGGACCCUACACAGCCUCAAUUGUCUCCGUUGAGAGAAUUGUAGGUCCUAAAGCUCCUGGUGAAACAUGUCACAUUGUCAUUGACCAUGGUGGUAAUGUCCCAUACUGGGAAGGACAAAGUUAUGGUGUCAUUCCUCCAGGAGAGAACCCAAAGAAACCUGGGGCCCCAAAUACCGUCCGACUCUAUUCUAUUGCGUCUACUAGGUAUGGCGAUUCUUUUGAUGGAAGGACUGCUAGUCUUUGUGUGCGCCGUGCUGUUUAUUAUGAUCCUGAAACUGGAAAAGAAGAUCCUUCAAAGAAGGGUAUCUGCAGUAACUUCUUGUGUGACUCAAAACCAGGUGACAAAAUUCAGAUCACAGGCCCCUCAGGCAAAAUAAUGCUUCUGCCUGAGGAUGACCCAAACGCAACUCAUAUCAUGAUUGGAACUGGCACGGGUGUUGCUCCUUUCCGUGGCUACCUACGUCGUAUGUUCAUGGAAGAUGUCCCAUCUUUCAAGUUUGGUGGUCUGGCUUGGCUCUUUCUUGGUGUUGCCAAUACUGACAGCCUGCUCUAUGACGAAGAGUUCACAAACUACCUUCAGCAGUAUCCAGAAAAUUUCAGGUAUGACAAAGCACUAAGCCGGGAGCAGAAAAACAAGAGCGGUGGCAAGAUGUAUGUGCAGGACAGGAUCGAGGAGUACAGUGAUGAAAUCUUCAAGCUUUUGGAUGAUGGUGCACACAUCUACUUCUGUGGUUUGAAGGGGAUGAUGCUAGGGAUUCAGGACACACUCAAGAGAGUAGCUGAGCAAAGAGGUGAGAGUUGGGAUCAGAAGCUGUCACAGCUGAAAAAGAACAAGCAAUGGCACGUCGAGGUUUACUAG